rnacentral:lncRNA from 1 species
UUAAAAAAAAAAAACAGAAACCUAUGAAAGAGUGCUUAUUCUCGUUUUUCAGAUGAAAAUUUAGACGAGUGAUUUGCCGACAGUUUGACACCCACAGAAACCCUUUCCUUUUAGUCUGAGCAAAAUUAUAAGAAUAUAAGUAGUGGCAACUCGGUUUUUUUCCCCUCAUAUUCUGUUUGGUUCUGAAAUUGAAUGAUUUUUCGAUUCACAGAUCGCCAAGACGUGAGCCACUGAACACUGUCCUCCACCAAAUUCUUAACUUCCCGGGUAGAAAGAGGGGACAGCUCCUUCUCAGCCUCAUUCGAAAAGCCAGUAACUACAAGCUCCAUCAUCUAUCCUUGCUACUAUCCUGCUUUUUAAAAAGAGAAAGUUCACCUUUGAAGGAGCUAUGGAAAGGGGAAGGCUAGUUCCUCUCGUGGUUUCAAGACCAGUGCAGCUGUUCCAAGCAUCAUGUCCAGAAAUUAAAUUAGAAGAAGAAAGGUGAUAUAUUCGGUGGUCUCUCUCUUAAAAGUCAGAAAACCUUCUCCAGCAGACCUCACAUUUGCCAGAACUAGAAAACAUAUCCACUG